rnacentral:rRNA from 1 species
GAUGAACGCUGGCGGCGUGCUUAACACAUGCAAGUCGAACGAGAAGUGGAGACGGAAACCUUCGGGCGGAAGACUUUACUUCGAGUGGCGGACGGGUGAGUAACGCGUGGGUAACCUGCCUCAUACAGGGGGAUAACAGUUGGAAACGACUGUUAAUACCGCAUAAGACCACAGCACCGCAUGGUGCGGGGGUAAAAACUCCGGUGGUAUGAGAUGGACCCGCGUUCGAUUAGCCAGUUGGCGGGGUAACGGCCCACCAAAGCGACGAUCGAUAGCCGAUCUGAGAGGAUGACCGGCCACAUUGGGACUGAGACACGGCCCAAACUCCUACGGGAGGCAGCAAUGGGGAAUAUUGCACAAUGGGGGAAACCCUGAUGCAGCGACGCCGCGUGAGUGAAGAAGUAUUUCGGUAUGUAAAGCUCUAUCAGCAGGGAAGAAAAUGACAGUACCUGAGUAAGAAGCCCCGGCUAACUACGUG